UCUUUCUUCAUGACUGAAAUUUUCAGCAAGACUUCUGCAUUGUUGCAAUUCUCUCAUGACACAUUGACAUGUUCCUUGCAGCACGGCAUUUAGCAUGAGAGUGCUGGGACUCUUGUUAGUUCUUGCAGAGGAAGCAAUUAUAAAUCACACAGGAGGCUGAUAGACAAGGAAUGAAUUUCUCCACCCCACAAAAGUCUAAGAGACAGUGCUGUGAAGAGACAAAACAGAAUUUCACAUCUUGAGCUAAAUACUGCAAGAUUUGGGACAGAAUCAGAAGACCCAGAAAAAGUUUCUGUUUUUAUGGAAAUCAAAAUUGUGGUAACAAGAAUUCUUCUGGAAAUGUGGUCCUUUCAUUACUCUUGUAAGAUAAACAGAAAAGACAUGCAUCCAAAAAAAUGAAUUGAUCUUCAACAUAUGCCCUUUGAAGUUAUUGUGAUGAACCAUUAAUAGAGUUCCUCACAGAGAAUCUACUUUUGAUCAGCAGUAGUAUAUGUCAGGGAUUUGUCCUCAAAAACAGAUUCCACCAUAGAACACCUGUCCAGACCCUUCUAUGAAUAUAGUUUCUCUAUACCAAGGAUAAAUCAACAACCUCCACAUGAAUUUGAAACUAAUACUAAAGUGUGCUAUUAAAGUAAUGUCUCUGAUAAUGAACUUUUAAUGGCUCAAGAGACCUCUUUAUUAAACUUUGUAAUAAAUCAACCAACUUUAUAUAAGGAUCAGAUUAGAGAUAUUCAUACUGGCCAAAGUUUAAACAAACCUCUGUGUUGUUAGUAUUUUUAGUUUACAUCUUAAAUGAGGUGUAACAUCAUCAGAAUUGCUGGUUUCACUUCCCUCUAUUUGACUACACAGGACUUGAGUUUCCUUAGAUGUAUUUGCAGUCAUCUCAUAUGUAAAAAUUAGAGAAGCAUAUUAAUUUAGAAGUCAAAAAUCAUAAAAUUUCCUGCUUAAUACAAAACAAUUUGCACACAGAUAAGAUAUUUCCAUGGACCAUUCUAAUGCAAGCAUAUUAUCACCUAUCAGAACAUUAGAAUUGUUUCUAAUAACAAUUUUUUUAAAAUUUAACAAACUUCAUGCCAGCAUCCUAAAAUCAGAGGUUAGCAAUCUAAUGUUUCUCUUUGCAACCAGAAAGUGUUGAAAGUGUUUUGCUUCACUUUUUGUAACUCAAACGCUGGUUUUUAGGUUACAUUAAUAAUGGUUAUUUUUGUUCACUUUUUCUGUGGGACUAUAAGUAGAAUCUUAGUAUAGAAGGCUCUUUUUCUUCCCUGGUGACAAUCAAUGCAAAUACACAUGGGAAAAUUCUUCUAAAAUCACUGUAGAUAAGGGAGGAUAAUGUUUCAGGAAGAAAUGACUAUUAGCAGGUACAAAGCUUUGAUGAAGAACAGCAAGUGAGAAUAUUAAACUAACGGGAAGAACUGAUUCAAUCUUAUCAGGACAUUUUUGCUUCUUUAAUUUGAAUUCAGAACUUGUUUUUUCCAAGAGACUAAAUUUCAUUUAUCUAAUUUUCUUUAUAGGUUUUUCUUUCUGUUUUG